rnacentral:rRNA from 1 species
UACAGAGGUCCCAAGCGUUGUUCGGAUUUCCUGGGCGUAAAGGGUGCGUAGGCGGUUGGGUAAGUCUGAUGUGAAAUCUCCAGGCUCAACUUGGAAAUGGCAUCGGAAACUAUCCAGCUAGAGGGUUGGAGGGGGGACUGGAAUUCUCGGUGUAGCAGUGAAAUGCGUAGAUAUCGAGAGGAACACCAGUGGCGAAGGCGCGUCCUUGGAAAACUCAUGACGCUGAGGCACGAUAGCUAGGGGAGCAAACAGG